AUGAAGUUCUAAUUGUUAAAGAAGGCAAUGGAAAAUUGUAAUUAAACUAGAAAAGUGGACUCAGUGUGGCAGUGACGACAGCGGCAGCGAGAGGAUGAACAAGUUCAACGCCUUGAAAGAUGAUAACAGUGGGGACCAUGAUCAGAAUGAAGAAAACAGCACACAGAGAUGGUGAGAAGGAAAAAACGGAACGAGACAAGAAUCAGAACAGCAGCAAAAGGAAGGCUAUUGUCCCUGGACCAGGAGAGCACCCGCUGCAGUACAACUACACAUAUUGGUAUUCCAGGAUAACCCCCGGCCGUCCUACCAGCUUACAAAGCUAAGAACAGAAUAUCAAACAUAUUGGCACCUUUGCCUCUGUGGAGCAGUUCUGGAGUUUUUAUAGCCACAUGGUACGUCCUGGGGACCUGACAGGCCACAGUGACUUCCAUCACUUCAAAGAAGGAAUUAAACUCAUGUGGGAGGAUGAUGCAAAUAAAAAUGGUGGCAAGUGGAUUAUUCAGUUGCGAAAGGGCUUGGCCUCCCAUUGCUGGGGGAAUCUCAUCCUGGCCAUGUUGGGGGAACAGUUCAUGGUGGGAAAGGAGAUCUGUGGGGCUGUGGUCUCUGUCCACUUUCAGGAGGACAUUAUUUCAAUAUGGAAUAAGACUGCCAGUGACCCAGCAACCACAGCCCGAAUCCGGCAUACGCUUCGGCGAGUGCUUACCCUAUCUCCCAACACCAUUAUGGAAUACAAAACUCACACUGACAGCAUCAAAAUGCCAGGCAGGCUGGACCCCCAAAGGCUCCUUUUUCAAAACCUCUGGAAGCCGUGGUUGAAUGUGCCAUGACCCUCUCUCUCUGGAUGGCACCAUCUUUGAAGCUGAUGUCAUCGGAGUCUCUUGUUCUGUUGGCGUGCUACCUGGAAGAUCCUUCUGUCCUGGACAAGAGGAAUUGGAAGAGCAUUUUAUGUUUUAAUAACAGGCUGACACACAGCAGCUACAACAUCAGCUGAGAUCACUUAAUAAAUGGUGCUAAACUAAAAAAAAAAAAACAAAA